rnacentral:rRNA from 1 species
GCCUACGGGGGGCAGCAGUAGGGAAUCUUCCACAAUGGACGAAAGUCUGAUGGAGCAACGCCGCGUGAGUGAAGAAGGGUUUCGGCUCGUAAAGCUCUGUUGGUAGUGAAGAAAGAUAGAGGUAGUAACUGGCCUUUAUUUGACGGUAAUUACUUAGAAAGUCACGGCUAACUACGUGCCAGCAGCCGCGGUAAUACGUAGGUGGCGAGCGUUGUCCGGAUUUAUUGGGCGUAAAGCGAGUGCAGGCGGUGCAAUAAAGCUGGU